AACCCAAAGGACUUGACGGUACCCCACCCAACUAGAGGAGCCUGUUCUAUAACCGAUGAUCCCCGRUACACCCAACCAUUUUUUGCUUUUCAGCCUGUAUACCUCCGUCGUAAGCUUACCAUGUGAACGCACAAUAGUAGGCCCGAGGGCUAAACGCCACAACGUCAGGUCAAGGUGCAGCUUAUAGAAUGGAAAGCAUGGGCUACAAUUUCUAGCUUAGAACAAACGAAACACUACAUGAAACAUAGUCAUGAAGGCGGAUUUAGAAGUAAGUACGGAAUAGAGCGCCCUACUAAACUCGGCCCUGGGACGUGUACAAACCGCCCGUCACCCUCUUCAAUAG
rnacentral:rRNA from 1 species